rnacentral:tRNA from 1 species
GUUUAUGUAGUAUAAUGAAUUACAUAACUUUUUCAAGGUUAAGAUGUGUUUACCUUAAAUU